GAUGAACGCUGGCGGCGUGCCUAAUACAUGCAAGUCGAGCGAACGGACGAGAAGCUUGCUUCUCUGAUGUUAGCGGCGGACGGGUGAGUAACACGUGGAUAACCUACCUAUAAGACUGGGAUAACUUCGUGAAACCGGAGCUAAUACCGGAUAAUAUUUUGAACCGCAUGGUUCAAAAGUGAAAGACGGUCUUGCUGUCACUUAUAGAUGGAUCCGCGCUGCAUUAGCUAGUUGGUAAGGUAACGGCUUACCAAGGCAACGAUGCAUAGCCGACCUGAGAGGGUGAUCGGCCACACUGGAACUGAGACGCGGUCCAGACUCCUACGGGAGGCAGCAGUAGGGAAUCUUCCGCAAUGGGCGAAAGCCUGACGGAGCAACGCCGCGUGAGUGAUGAAGGUCUUCGGAUCGUAAAACUCUGUUAUUAGGGAAGAACAUAUGUGUAAGUAACUGUGCACAUCUUGACGGUACCUAAUCAGAAAGCCACGGCUAACUACGUG
rnacentral:rRNA from 1 species